rnacentral:misc_RNA from 1 species
ACAAAGAAGAACUUUCCACCACUGAAAAACUUAUUUUUGACACAAAAGAAAGUACAACUGAACUAGAGGAAGAAAACAUUAAAGAUAUUGAGUUGGAUAUUGAAGUUCAAGCUCCUAUGCAAGAUGUCAAUGAACAAACAUAUGAAACACUUGCAUUGAAUGAGAAGAAAAAGACGUUUACAAAUGAAGAAAUAUUUGAUGAAAUUUCUGCUGGAGAAAUAAAACCAGCACUUGAAGAUAGUCUUGAAAUUUCAUCUGUAGAUAACAUUCCCUCAGGAGAGGUCUCUUACAAGUCACCCACUUUGAAUAGUGAUGAACAGCUGCUGUUAGCUGAAACACCUGAAGAUAUGAAAUUUAGUUCUGAAGAAACAACAGCCAUUUCAUGUGAACAACAAGAAUCAAUAAUGCCAGUUUCAGUAAAAGAAAAACAGGAGUCUAUUACAUCAGAACACUUUGUAGAAAAACCUAUUGAAGAAGGUGUUAAAGAGGUGAAGGAAGAUAUCAAAGAUGUCGUUAGAGAAGACAAAGCUCCCGUCCCAUCUGAUAAGGUACUUGUUUCACAGCAAAAAGAAAGUGUUUCUUAUCCAAAUGAGACUGAAGUGUCCGAGCUUGAAGUAGAAGACAUUACUCAAAUCUUACCCAAAGAAUCUAAAGCUGAGGUCAUGCCUGAUGUUAAAAGUGUAGCAUCAAUUGGUAAACAGGAAAUGGAAAUCACAGAGCUAGUUUUGAAAAGUAGAGAGGAAACUUAUGAAGAGGAGUCAUGGGAAGUUGAAGAAGAGAAAGUAGAAGAACUUGUAGAAACUAAUCCAGAAGAGCAAAUAGUAAUGAAUGCUGAAACUUCCACUCAAACUAUUGAGUCUAAAAUCGAUAUCAUGGAAUCAGUUGAUACUCUUGACAGUAUUACAAUCCAGACAUUUGCUGAAAAUUUUUCAAAAGAUGUCAUCAAAACUGUAUUGAUGCAAGAAACUGAAAUAUCAAAAAUAACAUCUGAAGAAGCCCCACAAGAUGUACUGGAAUCUGAUGUUCAAGAAAGCAAACCCACACAUGUUUCUGGAAGCAGUGUGAUUCCUGAAAAUCUGGCUGAAGUUUUACCUCAAUAUGAUGAGGAGACAACAGUGGUAUCCACAGUUCAACAGAACAUUGAAACCCCGCUUUUUGAAGAAAAUCUCCCAUUUGAUUCUGUUCAAAAUAAGGAAGAAAGUGGUGAAGUAAAAAUGGCAGAACAAUUAACAGAUGCUACCGAAGCCACUGAAAUGCCAAUUUCAGAAAUAAGCUUACCAUGUGAUUCAGUGGAUGUGAUCAAGGAAAUCAAACAAGAAGACAUUGCACAAAGUAAUGAAAUAAAGAUCUCUGAAGAAAAUGUCACAGCAGAUGACAAGAAAGAAAUGCAGUCUGUUCCAAUUAAGAAUGAAGAAACACUUGAAACGGUAGAAAUCACUGAUGCAGAGACAGAAAUUACAGCAAUUGCUGACAAGGUGGAACAAAAACUUGUAACUCCAGUUUUAGAAAUAACUGCUGACUUAGACACAUAUGAAAUGAUAGAAGAAGAACAUUUGACUGCUCAAGAAUCAUUUGUUGGGACACAUGAAGAUGAAAAAACAUCAGAAAGUAGCAAAGAUGAGUCACAUGUCAAAUCAUGCAAAUCACACCUGAUUCACUUAUGCCUGAAGAUUUAGGAAAAGAAACUACCUCAACUGCAAAUGUAGAAAUUGUCAAACCUAUGCAAGAAAUACCAGUUUCAGAGCUUAACAUUCCCUGUGACAUAGUUGACGAAGUAACUGAAGACCAAAUUUCUACUAUUGCAGAAGAAAUGGAAGUGAAUGAUGUUAAAGAAAAACAUGUCAAAGAGAUUCCAAUAGAAACAGAAGCUAUCAUAUCAGAAGAUGAAGUUUCAGAGAAAUUUGAU